UUAAAUUGAAGAGUUUGAUCAUGGCUCAGAUUGAACGCUGGCGGCAGGCCUAACACAUGCAAGUCGAACGGUAACAGGAAACAGCUUGCUGUUUCGCUGACGAGUGGCGGACGGGUGAGUAAUGUCUGGGAAACUGCCUGAUGGAGGGGGAUAACUACUGGAAACGGUAGCUAAUACCGCAUAACGUCGCAAGACCAAAGAGGGGGACCUUCGGGCCUCUUGCCAUCGGAUGUGCCCAGAUGGGAUUAGCUAGUAGGGUGGGGUAACGGCUCACCUAGGCGACGAUCCCUAGCUGGUCUGAGAGGAUCACCAGCACACUGG
rnacentral:rRNA from 1 species